ACAAGCCUGAGAAACGGCUAGUAGGACUAAGGUCUGCAGCAGGCGCGAAACUUACACAAUGCUAGAUUAAAAUUAGCGAUGUAGUGAAGAAAAAUAACGAUGUACUUACAUUUAAACAUGUUAGUACAAUUGGAAUGAGACGACUUUAAAACAGUUUGUCGAGUAACAAAUGGAGGGCAAGUCUGGUGCCAGCAGCCGCGGUAAUUCCAGCUCCAUUAGCAUACAUUAAAAUUGUUGCGGUUAAAAAGCUCGUAGUUGAAUUUUAGGCGAGCUUUAUUUGGUUGCGGUCGUUAAAGGUUUAUAUAUCUUUAUAGAUAUUAAACUGACCGUAUCUACCAGUUAGAAACUCGCUGUUUCGUCACUUAAUCGAGUGCGAAGCGGGCUGGAACAAGAUAUUUCACUUCUUAGUGUAUAUAUCUGUCUCAGUAUGUUUACCUUGAGAAAAUUAGAGUGCUCACAGCAAGCAGUUUGGAUGUAAAAGUUCAUUUAUGCUUGAAUAAUGUUGCAUGGAAUAAUAGAAUACGGCCUCGGUUCUAUUCUGUUGGUCUUAUAGAACAACAAACAAGUUGGUAUAGUUGUAAUUAAACGGAUUUUGUUGCCAUGAACCUUAAAAAUUCAUGAGCCCCAAUCUAUAUAACUUCCAACUGAGGCAAUGGUUAAAAGAAAUAGUUGCGGCGGCAUCAGUACUGCAUCGUGAGAG
rnacentral:rRNA from 1 species